AUAUUAAAGUUGUUGCGGUUAAAAAGCUCGUAGUUGGUUCUGCGUGCCACGCUGUCGGUUCACCGCCUGCCGGUGCAACUGGCAUGCCGUGGCAUGUCCUGUCGGUGGCGGAUAGGCUUCGCGGCGCGCCCUAUGCGGUUACAACCGUGUAGGCUGCUGCGCCGCGUCGUCCUUGUACGCCGGCUCAAUCCUACCGCGGUGCUCUUUACCGAGUGUCGAGGUAGGCCGACACUGUUUACUUUGAACAAAUUAGAGUGCUUAAAGCAGGCUCUUAAAUCAGCCUGAAUAGUGGUGCAUGGAAUAAUGGAACAGGACCUUGGUUCUAUUUUGUUGGUUUUCGGAAUCCAAGGUAAUGAUCAAUAAGGACAGGCGGGGGCAUUCGUAUUGCGACGUUAGAGGUGAAAUUCUUGGAUCGUCGCAAGACGCACUAGAGCGAAAGCAUUUGCCAAGUAUGUCUUAAUUGAUCAAGAACGAAAGUUAGAGGUUCGAAGGCGAUCAGAUACCGCCCUAGUUCUAACCAUAAACGAUGCCAGCCAGCGAUCCGCCGACGUUCCUCCGAUGACUCGGCGGGGAGCUUUCCCCGGGAAACCAAAGCUUUUGGGUUCCGGGGGAAGUAUGGUUGCAAAGCUGAAACUUAAAGGAAUUGACGGAAGGGCACCACCAGGAGUGGAGCCUGCG
rnacentral:rRNA from 1 species